rnacentral:lncRNA from 1 species
CAAGACCCCUCCCUGCAUUCAGAAAAGCCAAAUCAUGUGGGACCCUGGUGUUGCAUUGGAACAGCUGAAGAUUUUAUUUAUUUGACAGAAAGAGACACAGCAAGAGAAGGAAUAUAAGCGAGGGGAGUGACAGAGGAGGAAGCAGGCUGCCCACAGAAGCAGGGAGCCCGAUGUGGGGCUCAAUCCCGGGACCCUGGGAUCAUGACUUGAGCCGAAAGCAGACGCUUAACGACUGAGCCACCCAGGUGC